rnacentral:rRNA from 1 species
AUUGAACGCUGGCGGCAGGCUUAACACAUGCAAGUCGAGCGGGGGAAGGUAGCUUGCUACCGGACCUAGCGGCGGACGGGUGAGUAAUGCUUAGGAAUCUGCCUAUUAGUGGGGGACAACAUCUCGAAAGGGAUGCUAAUACCGCAUACGUCCUACGAGAGAAAGCAGGGGAUCUUCGGACCUUGCGCUAAUAGAUGAGCCUAAGUCGGGUUAGCUAGUUGGUGGGGUAAAGGCCUACCAAGGCGACGAUCUGUAGCGGGUCUGAGAGGAUGAUCCGCCACACUGGGACUGAGACACGGCCCAGACUCCUACGGGAGGCAGCAGUGGGGAAUAUUGGACAAUGGGGGGAACCCUGAUCCAGCCAUGCCGCGUGUGUGAAGAAGGCCUUAUGGUUGUAAAGCACUUUAAGCGAGGAGGAGGCUACUCUAGUUAAUACCUAGGGAUAGUGGACGUUACUCGCAGAAAAAGCACCGGCUAACUCUGUGCCAGCCGCCGCGGUAA